AUUGAACGCUGGCUGCAGGCCUAACACAUGCAAGUCGAGCGAGCGGCGGACGGGUGAGUAAUGUCUGGGAAACUGCCUGAUGGAGGGGGAUAACUACUGGAAACGGUAGCUAAUACCGCAUACCAUCAGAUGUGCCCCGAUGGGAUUAGCUGGUAGGUGGGGUAACGGCUCACCUCGGCGACGAUCCCUAGCUGGUCUGAGAGGAUGACCAGCCACAUGUGAACUGAGACACGGUCCAGACUCCUACGGGAGUCAGCAGUGGGGAAUAUUGCACAAUGGGCGCAAGCCUGAUACAGCCAUGCCGCGUGUGUGAAGAAGGCCUUCGGGUUGUAAAGCACUUUCAGCUGGGAGGCGUUACCCGCAGAAGAAGCACCGGCUAACUCCGUGCCAGCAGCCGCGGUAAUUC
rnacentral:rRNA from 1 species